GGAUUGAUGAUGACAACUGGUUUCUGAGGAUGCUGAUUGACUCAAUGAUAUCCCCUCUGAAGUCC